UACCAGCACCCCGAGUGGUCGGGACGUUUAUUGGGCCUAAAGCAUCCGUAGCCGGUUCUACAAGUCUUCCGUUAAAUCCACCUGCUUAACAGAUGGGCUGCGGAAGAUACUAUAGAGCUAGGAGGCGGGAGAGGCAAGCGGUACUCGAUGGGUAGGGGUAAAAUCCGUUGAUCCAUUGAAGACCACCAGUGGCGAAGGCGGCUUGCCAGAACGCGCUCGACGGUGAGGGA
rnacentral:rRNA from 1 species